rnacentral:rRNA from 1 species
UGCCUAAUACGUGCAAGUCGAACGGACAGAUGGGAGCUUGCUCCCUGAUGUCAGCGGCGGACGGGUGAGUAACACGUGGGUAACCUGCCUGUAAGACUGGGAUAACUCCGGGAAACCGGGGCUAAUACCGGAUGCUUGAUUGAACCGCAUGGUUCAAUUAUAAAAGGUGGCUUUUAGCUACCACUUACAGAUGGACCCGCGGCGCAUUAGCUAGUUGGUGAGGUAACGGCUCACCAAGGCAACGAUGCGUAGCCGACCUGAGAGGGUGAUCGGCCACACUGGGACUGAGACACGGCCCAGACUCCUACGGGAGGCAGCAGUAUGGAAUCUUCCGCAAUGGACGAAAGUCUGACGGAGCAACGCCGCGUGAGUGAUGAAGGUUUUCGGAUCGUAAAACUCUGUGGAUACGGAAGAACAAGGACCGUUCGAAUAGGGCGGUACCUUGACGGUACCUAACCAGAAAGCCACGGCUAACUACGUGCCAGCAGCCGCGGUAAUACGUAGGUGGCAAGCGUUGUCCGGAAUUAUUGGGCGUAAAGCGCGCGCAGGCGGUUUCUUAAGUCUGAUGUGAAAGCCCCCGGCUCAACCGGGGAGGGUC